UAUAGACGAUGACGUUGAUAGGUCACAAGUGUAAGUGUAGAAAUACAUUCAGCUGAGUGAUACUAAUUACCCGUAGACUUUGG
rnacentral:rRNA from 1 species